GCAAAGAGAGGCUACUCUGGGCAUUUAUCUUCUCUAUUGGGAUAGUUUUUGCAUUUCUCUUGGUAGCUUCUGAUGAGGAGAACGCUUCAACUAGAAAGAAGGCAACACUAGAAUUGGCAUGCUGUGUUUAUUUUUGAGUUUUGUAUCAAACUAACACUAGAGAAGGCCAUUAUGGGUUCAUUUUGUAAUCACAAUUUGCAUGAAAUUAUAGGUUAUAUGAUCAGUGG
rnacentral:lncRNA from 1 species